rnacentral:rRNA from 1 species
GACGAACGCUGGCGGCGUGCUUAACACAUGCAAGUCGAACGGAAAGGCCCUGCUUUUGUGGGGCGCUCGAGUGGCGAACGGGUGAGUAACACGUGAGUAACCUGCCCUUGACUUUGGGAUAACUUCAGGAAACUGGGGCUAAUACCGGAUAGGAGCUCCUGCUGCAUGGUGGGGGUUGGAAAGUUUCGGCGGUUGGGGAUGGACUCGCGGCUUAUCAGCUUGUUGGUGGGGUAGUGGCUUACCAAGGCUUUGACGGGUAGCCGGCCUGAGAGGGUGACCGGCCACAUUGGGACUGAGAUACGGCCCAGACUCCUACGGGAGGCAGCAGUGGGGAAUAUUGCACAAUGGGCGGAAGCCUGAUGCAGCAACGCCGCGUGCGGGAUGACGGCCUUCGGGUUGUAAACCGCUUUCGCCUGUGACGAAGCGUGAGUGACGGUAAUGGGUAAAGAAGCACCGGCUAACUACGUGCCAGCAGCCGCGGUGAUACGUAGGGUGCGAGCGUUGUCCGGACUUAUUGGGCGUAAAGGGCUCGUAGGUGGUUGAUCGCGUCGGAAGUGUAAUCUUGGGGCUUAACCCUGAGCGUGCUUUCGAUACGGGUUGACUUGAGGAAGGUAGGGGAGAAUGGAAUUCCUGGUGGAGCGGUGGAAUGCGCAGAUAUCAGGAGGAACACCAGUGGCGAAGGCGGUUCUCUGGGCCUUUCCUGACGCUGAGGAGCGAAAGCGUGGGGAGCGAACAGGCUUAGAUACCCUGGUAGUCCACGCUGUAAACGGUGGGUACUAGGUGUGGGGUCCAUUCCACGGGUUCCGUGCCGUAGCUAACGCUUUAAGUACCCCGCCUGGGGAGUACGGCCGCAAGGCUAAAACUCAAAGGAAUUGACGGGGCCCCGCACAAGCGGCGGAGCAUGCGGAUUAAUUCGAUGCAACGCGUAGAACCUUACCUGGGUUUGACAUGGAUCGGGAGCGCUCAGAGAUGGGUGUGCCUCUUUUGGGGUCGGUUCACAGGUGGUGCAUGGCUGUCGUCAGCUCGUGUCGUGAGAUGUUGGGUUAAGUCCCGCAACGAGCGCAACCCUUGUUCACUGUUGCCAGCACGUUAUGGUGGGGACUCAGUGGAGACCGCCGGGGUCAACUCGGAGGAAGGUGGGGAUGACGUCAAGUCAUCAUGCCCCUUAUGUCCAGGGCUUCACGCAUGCUACAAUGGCUGGUACAGAGAGUGGCGAGCCUGUGAGGGUGAGCGAAUCUCGGAAAGCCGGUCUCAGUUCGGAUUGGGGUCUGCAACUCGACCUCAUGAAGUCGGAGUCGCUAGUAAUCGCAGAUCAGCAACGCUGCGGUGAAUACGUUCCCGGG